rnacentral:rRNA from 1 species
GAGUUUGAUCCUGGCCAGGAUGAACGCUGGCGGCGUGCUUAACACAUGCAAGUCGAACGGUGAAGCAGGAGCUUGCUCCUGUGGAUCAGUGGCGAACGGGUGAGUAACACGUGAGCAAUCUGCCCUGGACUCUGGGAUAAGCGUUGGAAACGACGUCUAAUACCGGAUACGAGACGCGAAGGCAUCUUCAGCGUCUGGAAAGAACUUCGGUCCAGGAUGAGCUCGCGGCCUAUCAGGUAGUUGGUGAGGUAAUGGCUCACCAAGCCUACGACGGGUAGCCGGCCUGAGAGGGUGACCGGCCACACUGGGACUGAGACACGGCCCAGACUCCUACGGGAGGCAGCAGUGGGGAAUAUUGCACAAUGGGCGCAAGCCUGAUGCAGCAACGCCGCGUGAGGGACGACGGCCUUCGGGUUGUAAACCUCUUUUAGCAGGGAAGAAGCGAAAGUGACGGUACCUGCAGAAAAAGCACCGGCUAACUACGUGCCAGCAGCGCGGUA